rnacentral:rRNA from 1 species
GAUGAACGCUGACAGAAUGCUUAACACAUCAGCAAUUGAAUGGUGGCGGACGGGUGAGUAACGCGUAAAGAACUUGCCUCACAGCUAGGGACAACAUUUGGAAACGAAUGCUAAUACCUAAUACUGUGAGAGAGCUUUGCGUCCCAUUAGCUAGUUGGAGAGGUAACGGCGCACCAAGGCGAUGAGGGGUAGCCGGCCUGGGAGGGUGAUCGGCCACAUGCGGACAGGGGAACGGCCCUUAUGCCUACGGGAGGCAGGAGUGGGGAAUAUAGGACAAUGGACCAAAGUCUGAUCCAGCAAUUCUGUGUGUACGAUGAAGUUUUCGGAAUGUAAAGGGCUUUCAGUUGGGAAGCGGUACCAACAGAAGAAGUGACGGCUAACUACGUGCCAGCAGCCGCGGUAAUAC